rnacentral:rRNA from 1 species
UACGGAGGGUGCGAGCGUUAAUCGGAAUUACUGGGCGUAAAGCGUGCGUAGGUGGUUCGUUAAGUCAGAUGUGAAAGCCCUGGGCUCAACCUGGGAACUGCAUUUGAAACUGGCGGACUAGAGUUUGGUAGAGGGGAGUGGAAUUUCAGGUGUAGCGGUGAAAUGCGUAGAUAUCUGAAGGAACACCAGUGGCGAAGGCGACUCCCUGGACUAAAACUGACGCUGAGGUACGAAAGCGUGGGUAGCAAACAGG